UACGUAGGGCGCAAGCGUUGUCCGGAAUUAUUGGGCGUAAAGAGCUCGUAGGCGGUUUGUCGCGUCUGUCGUGAAAGCCCACGGCUUAACCGUGGGUCUGCGGUGGAUACGGGCAGACUAGAGGCAGGUAGGGGAGAAUGGAAUUCCCGGUGUAGCGGUGAAAUGCGCAGAUAUCGGGAGGAACACCGGUGGCGAAGGCGGUUCUCUGGGCCUGUACUGACGCUGAGGAG
rnacentral:rRNA from 1 species